rnacentral:rRNA from 1 species
UACAGGGGGUGCAAACGUUGCUCGGAAUCAUUGGGCGUAAAGCGCACGUAGGCGGUCUGUUAUGUCGGGCGUGAAAUCCCACGGCUCAACCGUGGAAGUGCACUCGAAACUGCAUAGCUAGAGUCCUGGAGAGGAAGGUGGAAUGCUUGGUGUAGAGGUGAAAUUCGUAGAUAUCAAGCGGAACACCGGUGGCGAAGGCGGCCUUCUGGACAGUGACUGACGCUGAGACGCGAAAGCGUGGGGAGCAAACAGG